rnacentral:rRNA from 1 species
GAUGAACGCUAGCGACAGGCUUAACACAUGCAAGUCGAGGGGCAGCGGGGUAGUGCUUGCACUACUGCCGGCGACCGGCGCACGGGUGAGUAACACGUAUGGAACCUGCCCGCAGCAGGGGGAUAAGCGGAAGAAAUUCCGUCUAAUACCGCGUAACAACCCUUGGAGGCAUCUCCCCGGGGUUUAAAGGAAGCGAUUCCGGCUACGGAUGGUCAUGCGUCGCAUUAGCUAGUUGGCGGGGUAACGGCCCACCAAGGCGACGAUGCGUAGGGGUUCUGAGAGGAAGGUCCCCCACACUGGUACUGAGACACGGACCAG